UGUGAUUGCCGGGUUUAUGUAAAAAUGGGGGUUUUAUGGGCAAUUUCCGAGACCCCCGAAAAGGUCUAUUUUACCCCAGAUAUAAAUUUAAAGAGCAUUUUCUGCAUUGUUUUGUGCUUUAUUUUCAAGCUGUUGACGGGCCGCAAUGAAUAUGGUCUGAAUAUAUUUUCAGGUUGUGACUGAAGGCCUUGUUUUGAGGGUGUUUUGCAGACCAGUGCUUGUCGGCCUGGGGAUUUUCCAGAAAAACUGUAGACUGCCCCCUUAAGGUUUAGGUCUGAGAGUGUAUGCCAGAGUGUCUGCCUGUGCUAACCCUGCUGUGGUUCUGACGAAUUGACUGUCCCAGGCUUCCUUGUCUGUCAGCCGUACCAGUCGUUUAGAAGCUUUCGGCGCCUCGGAACUUGCACUGGAAACUCCAGGUUGUGACUGAAGGCCUUGUUUUGAGGGUGUUUUGCAGACCAGUGCUUGUCGGCCUGGGGAUUUUCCAGAAAAACUGUAGACUGCCCCCCAAAUA